CAGAGGGAUGCUACCGGGCGACCGGAUGCGGAUCUCGAAAGCCUGUCCCAGUUCGGACUGGAGUCUGCAACCCGACUCCACGAAGUUGGAUUCGCUAGUAAUCGCGCAUCAGCCAUGGCGCGGUGAAUACGUUCCCGGGCCUUGUACACACCGCCCGUCACACCAUGAGAGUCGGGAACACCCGAAGUCCGUAGUCUAACCCGCAAGGGAGGGCGCGGCCGAAGGUGGGUUCGAUAAUUGGGGUGAAGUCGUAACAAGGUAUC
rnacentral:rRNA from 1 species